rnacentral:pre_miRNA from 10 species
ACACACAUACACAUAUAUAUGUGUAUGUGUGUAUAUAUACACACACACAUGUAUAUAUAUAUAUGUGUGUGUGUG